rnacentral:rRNA from 15 species
NNUUUAUGGAGAGUUUGAUCCUGGCUCAGAGUGAACGCUGGCGGCGUGCCUAAUACAUGCAAGUCGAACGAUGAAGCUUCUAGCUUGCUAGAAGUGGAUUAGUGGCGCACGGGUGAGUAACGCAUAGGUCAUGUGCCUCUUAGUUUGGGAUAGCCAUUGGAAACGAUGAUUAAUACCAGAUACUCCCUACGGGGGAAAGAUUUAUCGCUAAGAGAUCAGCCUAUGUCCUAUCAGCUUGUUGGUAAGGUAAUGGCUUACCAAGGCUAUGACGGGUAUCCGGCCUGAGAGGGUGAACGGACACACUGGAACUGAGACACGGUCCAGACUCCUACGGGAGGCAGCAGUAGGGAAUAUUGCUCAAUGGGGGAAACCCUGAAGCAGCAACGCCGCGUGGAGGAUGAAGGUUUUAGGAUUGUAAACUCCUUUUGUUAGAGAAGAUAAUGACGGUAUCUAACGAAUAAGCACCGGCUAACUCCGUGCCAGCAGCCGCGGUAAUACGGAGGGUGCAAGCGUUACUCGGAAUCACUGGGCGUAAAGAGCGCGUAGGCGGGAUAGUCAGUCAGGUGUGAAAUCCUAUGGCUUAACCAUAGAACUGCAUUUGAAACUACUAUUCUAGAGUGUGGGAGAGGUAGGUGGAAUUCUUGGUGUAGGGGUAAAAUCCGUAGAGAUCAAGAGGAAUACUCAUUGCGAAGGCGACCUGCUGGAACAUUACUGACGCUGAUUGCGCGAAAGCGUGGGGAGCAAACAGGAUUAGAUACCCUGGUAGUCCACGCCCUAAACGAUGGAUGCUAGUUGUUGGAGGGCUUAGUCUCUCCAGUAAUGCAGCUAACGCAUUAAGCAUCCCGCCUGGGGAGUACGGUCGCAAGAUUAAAACUCAAAGGAAUAGACGGGGACCCGCACAAGCGGUGGAGCAUGUGGUUUAAUUCGAAGAUACACGAAGAACCUUACCUAGGCUUGACAUUGAGAGAAUCCGCUAGAAAUAGUGGAGUGUCUAGCUUGCUAGACCUUGAAAACAGGUGCUGCACGGCUGUCGUCAGCUCGUGUCGUGAGAUGUUGGGUUAAGUCCCGCAACGAGCGCAACCCCCUUUCUUAGUUGCUAACAGGUCAUGCUGAGAACUCUAAGGAUACUGCCUCCGUAAGGAGGAGGAAGGUGGGGACGACGUCAAGUCAUCAUGGCCCUUACGCCUAGGGCUACACACGUGCUACAAUGGGGUGCACAAAGAGAAGCAAUACUGCGAAGUGGAGCCAAUCUUCAAAACGCCUCUCAGUUCGGAUUGUAGGCUGCAACUCGCCUGCAUGAAGCUGGAAUCGCUAGUAAUCGCAAAUCAGCCAUGUUGCGGUGAAUACGUUCCCGGGUCUUGUACUCACCGCCCGUCACACCAUGGGAGUUGUGUUUGCCUUAAGUCAGGAUGCUAAACUAGCUACUGCCCACGGCACACACAGCGACUGGGGUGAAGUCGUAACAAGGUAACCGUAGGUGAACCUGCGGUUGGAUCACCUCCUNN